rnacentral:lncRNA from 10 species
UCAGGAUUACGCAGGCAUACCUGGAAAGGAACUGGGCUUGGAGGAUGGUUGCACCUGAAAAAGAAAUCAGUCAGUUAGUGAACAAUGGCUAUAUGUGUCUUGGUCUGGCUUUGGUGUCGGGGCAUUUCCAGUCUCAUAAAAUGACUUUGCGUAACACAUGGAAACUAAUGGUGUUCUACAAUUGCUGAAGCAAGUGUAACACUAAAGAAGCCUUAUGGAAAGAUUCCUGUGGCUGACCCAGGAGUAGUGGUGAAUUUCUCCAUCAAGAGCUGCACUCGGGCAAUGGGAAGGGGAAAUCAUCCGAGCUUAGCAGGCUGGGAGGUCACCUGUGACUGUCACAGGUAGGCUGCCUUAGGAAAUGAAUUAUUCUGACUGGCGGUGAGUAAAAAGGGAAGCAGCCCUUCUCCUGUUUCACUCCAAGACACGCAGCCAGUCAAUUUAACCUUUUCUCUUAAGAAGUCACAGCUCAAUCCUUUGUUAAGGGGGACUUUCAUUUUCUCACUCCUCUGUGCCUUCUUCAAUGCUGUGAUGCCAAGAAAAAAAAAAAAAUACCAACCCCGGGAAAAGCGCUUCCCUUGGAUAAAGAGAUGCCAAAUGCGCCAAAUAGGCUGUGUGAGCCAGGCAGCAUUGGAGGGAACAAAGCGCAGUAUAUUUCCAAAUAAAACUUCAAAG